GACAUUCUAGUAUUUUUUGAUACAGAAAAUGAACAUGAAAAGCAUGUAACUAAUGUUUUAAUGGAAGCUUACAAUAUAGGUAUUGUGCUAUUUGAAAAGAAAGCAGAAUUGUUUAAGGAAAAAAUUGGAUAUCUUGGAUUAGAUAUAGCAAAUGGCUAUAAAAAACUUAAGCCCCAUAUCCUUACUCAUAUUCAAGAAUUUCCAAACGAAAUUCAAGAUAAAAAACAGUUGAUGAGAUUUCUUGGAUGUCUCACUUAUGCAGAAUCUUUUAUAAAAGAUUUAGCAUAAAUGAGAACACCACUUCAGAAAAAACUCAAAAAAGAUUUUAGAUGGAUUUGGGCUAAAGAAGAUACUCUUUAUGUUAGAAAAAUUAAAUCUAAAUUAAAAUUUUUGCCAUCAUUAUAUCAUCCCAAAGUAGGUGAUAGAAUGAUAAUUGAGACAAAUGCCUCUCAAGAACAUUGGGGAGCAGUCUUGAAAGCUCUUGAUCAACAAGGAUAAGAAGAAGAAAAAUUAUGUGGUUAUGCUUCUGGAACUUUUUCAAGUGCAGAAAAGAAUUAUCACAUAAAUGAAAAAGAAAUUUUAUCUAUGAAAAAAGCAAUAACAAAAUUCAGACUGUAUAUAAUUUUUGAUAAGUUCAUUGUCAGAACUGAUUCAAGUACUUGUAAUUCAUUUUUGAAAAGUUAGACACAUCCAGACUACAAGCAAGGAAGACUUGUAAGAUGGUAGAUGUGGUUCAGCCAUUAUUUUUUCAAUUGAAAUAAUAAAAGGGAAAAAUAAUUCUUUAGCUGAUACAUUAACAAGAGAAUUUGCUGUUGCAGGUUAAAAUGAUAGAAUUGAAGAUCAAAUUGCUGAUCUAGAAAUACAAAUCAAAAUGGAAGAGAUGGAAAUCUCAACAAGACAACAGAAGGUACAAAUUCUGAAAAAGAAGCUUACUAGACUUCUUAAUAUUAAACAAUCAACAACUUCUGUUUCAAAGAGGAAGAGUGAUAUCUCUAAAAAACAACCACUACCCCAAAGAGAAGAAAUCAACAUUAGCAAGACUAAUGAAGAUGAAAAUACAGUCCUGAGGAAUACACUCAAAAUAGAUGAGCAUUGUAAAGCUCAUUGUUCUCAAGAACAAAAGGGUAUUCAAAACCCAAAAGAAGAGUCAGAAGCUCAAGGGCCAAAAACUCAAUUACAGACAGGAGUGCAUUUUAAGCCUCAAAGUUCUCACGAACUAAAGGGUAUUCAAAGCCCAAAAGAAGGACUAAAAGUUCAAGAAAACUUUGAAAAUCUACCACGUGUUGGUGUUAAUACAUCUCUUGUAUGAACAAAAUUCUAUGUAAUCUUUGAUGGGCCACAAAGAGGAUUUUAUACCAACUGGGUACAAGUUGAACCACUUGUAAAAAACAAGCCCUAUAAACAUAAAAGUUUCAAAACUUAUACAGAAGUUCAAAAAGCCUUUUCAAACCAUUAUAAAAAUAAAGGAGACAGCCCAGUUCCAUAUAAAUAGCUUUUUGAAUUUGAUAAUAUUCAUUUAAGACCAAAUUGUCAAAACAAAGUCCAAGGGCAAGAUCCCGAUUACCAGCCCAACUUUUUAAACCACCACCAAGCCAAAUCGGAGAAUCAGAAUGAUUUCCUUCAAAGAUGGAAUCCAAUGCAAUCCAAUACAAUCCUAAAAUUGAGUAUAUUCCAGAUAGAUUUAAAAAGAUUGGAAAAAUACCAAAACAACAGGAAAGCCCAUUCUUUAAUGGGAUAACAUUAAAUGAUUUUCUUCAAUAUGAAGAAGAAGCCAGAAUAGUAGGAGCAUAUGCCCCAGAAAAAAAACUAUUAUAGCACAAUGGAGAAAAAAUUUGGACAGUUCAUUUUCUUUGAAGGAGCUGAUCCAAUAAUGGUACAGACAGCAUUCCACCGUGGAUUGAUCAAGAUGAUAGUCCUCAGUAAAACCAUGGAAGAAAUACAAUUGAUUGAUAACAAACUAUUGAAAACCUUAAUGGAUUUCAAGAAAUUUGUUAUUAAAGACCAAGAAUUACAAAUGAUGUUAAAAAUCAAUAGUACGAUACCAUUUUGGAAUGAAGAAGGAUUAUUGGUGAAGGGAUACCAUCAUAUUCAGAUUAAGAUUGUUCCAGAAGUUAUUCUGAAUAAACUAAUAGAAGGACAGAUUGAAUGCGUCAAUGAGGAAAAAAUGUAUGACUAGAGAAGUCUUGAAAGCUCUUGAGGUAAGCAUUAUAUACUUUGAAUUAUUCUAGAUGUCCAGACCUCACAAAUAGGGGGUGUCAAAAUGUAACAUAACUAACACUUAGCUUUUAAAUACACACAAUAAAUACACAUAUAUACAUGUAUAUGCUACACGUUAAUGGAAUAGUGAUACACAUCUUGAUUCAAUAUAAAAGUAUUGACAAUUGAUUAUAUAAAACUUAUAUUAGAUCCCCAAAAUGAUAGAUACAAAUGUGCAUGAGGAUUGUUUACUGAGCGUUAGCUCAUUCCACAUUAUCCCUCCCCAUUUUUAGAUGACAAAGGCAGAAUGAUUCGAGACUACUAUUCGUAGUGAGACGGACGUGGUACUAAUACAUUUAGCCCCUGUUUGAUUACAA
rnacentral:lncRNA from 1 species